UACGGGGGGCAAGCGUUGUUCGGAAUUACUGGCGUAAAGGGCUCGUAGGCGGCCAACUAAGUCAGACGUGAAAUCCCUCGGCUUAACCGGGAACUGCGUCUGAUACUGGUUGGCUUGAAUCCGGGAGAGGGAUGUGGAAUUCCUGGUGUAGCGGUGAAAUGCGCAGAUAUCAGGAAGAACACCUAUGGCGAAGGCAGCUCUCUGGGAACGGUACU
rnacentral:rRNA from 1 species